GUCUGAGGAGAUACCAAGAGUUUCUUUAGAUGAGUAGAUGUGCUUUGUGCAAUGUGCCCUGUUUCUACGAGGAACCCCGGGGUCUGACCCAAAGUCCACUGAUGCCAGUGGGAGGAGAAGAGGAGAAAGCAGGAGGUCCAAAAACCUUGGACCCAGCUUAAUAGUGGGACUUGAGAAGAGGAGUCAGCUUCAGUUGAAGGCUAUCUCAAUAGCUGUCACCUAUGUACGGAACCCCAGGAAUGAGGGCAAGAACAAAAAAUGAAAGCUCUCAACACUUUUUUACCAAGAGUGAGGUAAGCCUUCUCCAGAUCUCCAGAUGUUUCACUUUUAAUGGAUUCUUCUAUGUCUUUCCCACACACCUAGAGGGACAACAAAGAGUAGCCAUCAGAGCUGCUGUCUGUACAAGUCAUCCCACUGCCAUAAAACCAGCAUCAGCUUUAGGACACAAUGGCAAAAGGCCAGUUCAGAUCCUUUUGAGACUUUCCAGGGGAGCAAUUCAAGGGUAAGUGAAGAUCCUUUCUGGUGUAAGUGCUCACAGAUCCGCUGGCACCAAGA